rnacentral:rRNA from 1 species
AACGAACGCUGGCGGCGCGCUUAACACAUGCAAGUCGAGCGAGAAGGCGUAGCAAUACGCUUGUAAAGCGGCGAACGGGUGAGUAACACGUGGGUAACCUACCCUCGAGUGGGGAAUAACCAGCCGAAAGGUUGGCUAAUACCGCGUACGCUUCCGGUCCCACGGGGCCGGAAGGAAAGCCGUGCCGAGGGCAUGGCGCUCAAGGAUGGGCUCACGUCCUAUCAGCUUGUUGGUGAGGUAACGGCUCACCAAGGCUACGACGGGUAGCUGGUCUGAG